AGACCCGAAACCCGGUGAUCUAGCCAUGGGCAGGUUGAAGGUUGGGUAACACUAACUGGAGGACCGAACCGACUAAUGUUGAAAAAUUAGCGGAUGACCUGUGGCUGGGGGUGAAAGGCCAAUCAAACCGGGAGAUAGCUGGUUCUCCCCGAAAGCUAUUUAGGUAGCGCCUCGUGAAUUCAUCUCCGGGGGUAGAGCACUGUUUCGGCUAGGGGGCCAUCCCGGCUUACCAACCCGAUGCAAACUGCGAAUACCGGAGAAUGUUAUCACGGGAGACACACGGCGGGUGCUAACGUCCGUCGUGAAGAGGGAAACAACCCAGACCGCCAGCUAAGGUCCCAAAGUCAUGGUUAAGUGGGAAACGAUGUGGGAAGGCCCAGACAGCCAGGAUGUUGGCUUAGAAGCAGCCAUCAUUUAAAGAAAGCGUAAUAGCUCACUGGUCGAGUCGGCCUGCGCGGAAGAUGUAACGGGGCUAAACCAUGCACCGAAGCUGCGGCAGCGAACGUAUCACCCAAGACAACUUUACGGAGUUGACGAUUGACGGAGCGAAGCGACGUCAAAGCGUUCAUUAAAGUCGAGUUGGCUUAGGGAUACGUUCGUUGGGUAGGGGAGCGUUCUGUAAGCCUGUGAAGGUGUGUCGUGAGGCAUGCUGGAGGUAUCAGAAGUGCGAAUGCUGACAUAAGUAACGAUAAAGCGGGUGAAAAGCCCGCUCGCCGGAAGACCAAGGGUUCCUGUCCAACGUUAAUCGGGGCAGGGUGAGUCGACCCCUAAGGCGAGGCCGAAAGGCGUAGUCGAUGGGAAACGGGUUAAUAUUCCCGUACUUGGUGUUACUGCGAAGGGGGGACGGAGAAGGCUAUGUUGGCCGGGCGACGGUUGUCCCGGUUUAAGCGUGUAGGUGUGUGUUCCAGGUAAAUCCGGUUCACUUUAACACUGAGGCGUGACGACGAGGCACUACGGUGCUGAAGCAACAAAUGCCCUGCUUCCAGGAAAAGCCUCUAAGCAUCAGGUAACAUCAAAUCGUACCCCAAACCGACACAGGUGGUCAGGUAGAGAAUACCAAGGCGCUUGAGAGAACUCGGGUGAAGGAACUAGGCAAAAUGGUGCCGUAACUUCGGGAGAAGGCACGCUGACACGUAGGUGAAGUGAUUUACUCAUGGAGCUGAAGUCAGUCGAAGAUACCAGCUGGCUGCAACUGUUUAUUAAAAACACAGCACUGUGCAAACACGAAAGUGGACGUAUACGGUGUGACGCCUGCCCGGUGCCGGAAGGUUAAUUGAUGGGGUCAGCGCAAGCGAAGCUCCUGAUCGAAGCCCCGGUAAACGGCGGCCGUAACUAUAACGGUCCUAAGGUAGCGAAAUUCCUUGUCGGGUAAGUUCCGACCUGCACGAAUGGCGUAAUGAUGGCCAGGCUGUCUCCACCCGAGACUCAGUGAAAUUGAACUCGCUGUGAAGAUGCAGUGUACCCGCGGCAAGACGGAAAGACCCCGUGAACCUUUACUAUAGCUUGACACUGAACAUUGAGCCUUGAUGUGUAGGAUAGGUGGGAGGCUUUGAAGUGUGGACGCCAGUCUGCAUGGAGCCGACCUUGAAAUACCACCCUUUAAUGUUUGAUGUUCUAACGUGGACCCGUAAUCCGGGUUGCGGACAGUGUCUGGUGGGUAGUUUGACUGGGGCGGUCUCCUCCUAAAGAGUAACGGAGGAGCACGAAGGUUGGCUAAUCCUGGUCGGACAUCAGGAGGUUAGUGCAAUGGCAUAAGCCAGCUUGACUGCGAGCGUGACGGCGCGAGCAGGUGCGAAAGCAGGUCAUAGUGAUCCGGUGGUUCUGAAUGGAAGGGCCAUCGCUCAACGGAUAAAAGGUACUCCGGGGAUAACAGGCUGAUACCGCCCAAGAGUUCAUAUCGACGGCGGUGUUUGGCACCUCGAUGUCGGCUCAUCACAUCCUGGGGCUGAAGUAGGUCCCAAGGGUAUGGCUGUUCGCCAUUUAAAGUGGUACGCGAGCUGGGUUUAGAACGUCGUGAGACAGUUCGGUCCCUAUCUGCCGUGGGCGCUGGAGAACUGAGGGGGGCUGCUCCUAGUACGAGAGGACCGGAGUGGACGCAUCACUGGUGUUCGGGUUGUCAUGCCAAUGGCACUGCCCGGUAGCUAAAUGCGGAAGAGAUAAGUGCUGAAAGCAUCUAAGCACGAAACUUGCCCCGAGAUGAGUUCUCCCUGAGACUUAGAGUCUCCUGAAGGAACGUUGAAGACGACGACGUUGAUAGG
rnacentral:rRNA from 1 species